UACGAAGGGGGCUAGCGUUGCUCGGAAUCACUGGGCGUAAAGGGCGCGUAGGCGGCCUGAUCAGUCGGGGGUGAAAGCCUGUGGCUCAACCACAGAAUGGCCUUCGAUACUGUCGGGCUUGAGACCGGAAGAGGUAAGUGGAACUGCGAGUGUAGAGGUGAAAUUCGUAGAUAUUCGCAAGAACACCAGUGGCGAAGGCGGCUUACUGGUCCGGACCUGACGCUGAGGCGCGAAAGCGUGGGGAGCAAACAGG
rnacentral:rRNA from 1 species